GAUGAACGCUGGCGGCGUGCUUAACACAUGCAAGCCGAGUGAUGAAGUUUCCUUCGGGAAACGGAUUAGCGGCGGACGGGUGAGUAACACGUGGGUAACCUGCCUCAUAGAGUGGAAUAGCCUUCCGAAAGGAAGAUUAAUACCGCAUAAUGUUGAAAGAUGGCAUCAUCAUUCAACCAAAGGAGCAAUCCGCUAUGAGAUGGACCCGUGGCGCAUUAGCUAGUUGGUGGGGUAACGGCCUACCGAGGCGACGAUGCGUAGCCGACCUGAGAGGGUGAUCGGCCACAUUGGGACUGAGACACGGCCCAG
rnacentral:rRNA from 1 species